UAUGCCGUCUGCCCUGUCCAGUGUGGGCUGAGCACUGAGCUCAGGGAUGAGCUGGAAGGUGACAUGAACUUCAUCUUUUUCCAGUCUGGUAAGGACAGGACAGACUGUCACAAAACCUCAAUGGUUUUCACAAGACACCCAACAGAAGACCUUGGUAAAAUGCUCAGCUCUGCAUGUGAUGUGCGGGGGUACUCUUUGUCUCCAGGAGAAGAGAGACAGUUGACAGUGAUCAAAACCUUCUAGGUUUUAGAGGACUAAUUCUAGUGGCAGUAUAGAAGAAUUACCGGAGGACAGGGAAACUGGGAGUAAGGUAAC